AAAAACUGAAUGGUCAUGCAUGCAUUCAUGGCUUAGGAGAUAGUGAGAACAUAUGUAUACUUUGUUUAAGUUUUACCAAUUAGCUGAUCCGACAUGUUAAUGUAACUCGGUAUUAUUAGACUAACAAUUCUGAUUUCCUUCUGAUGAGGAAGAAUCUCCUCCAAAUUAAUUAUAGAAGUAAAGCUAAUUACAUUUUCUUUUUUUCCUUGACUUGCUAAGUUUUUUCUUUUUUUUUUUUAAU
rnacentral:misc_RNA from 1 species